GAGCGGCGAACGGGUGAGUAACACGUGAGCAACCUGCCCCUGACUCUGGGAUAAGCCUGGGAAACCGGGUCUAAUACCGGAUAUGACCGUCUCCGGCAUCGGGUGACGGUGGAAAGAUUUUUUGGUCGGGGAUGGGCUCGCGGCCUAUCAGCUUGUUGGUGGGGUAGUGGCCUACCAAGGCGACGACGGGUAGCCGGCCUGAGAGGGCGACCGGCCACACUGGGACUGAGACACGGCCCAGACUCCUACGGGAGGCAGCAGUGGGGAAUAUUGCGCAAUGGGCGGAAGCCUGACGCAGCGACGCCGCGUGGGGGAUGACGGCCUUCGGGUUGUAAACCUCUUUCAGCAGGGACGAAGGUGACGUGUACCUGCAGAAGAAGCGCCGGCUAACUACGUGCCAGCAGCCGCGGUAAUACGUAGGGCGCAAGCGUUGUCCGGANUUAUUGGGCGUAAAGAGCUCGUAGGUGGCUGGUCGCGUCUGCCGUGAAAGCCCGCAGCUUAACUGCGGGUCUGCGGUGGAUACGGGCCGGCUAGAGGUAGGUAGGGGCAAGUGGAAUUCCU
rnacentral:rRNA from 1 species